UACAGAGGAGCCAAGCGUUGUCCGGAUUGACUGGGCGUAAAGCGCACGCAGGCGGAUGCGCGCGUGGGGUGUGAAAUCUGGCCGCUUAACGGCCAGGCGCCAUCCCAUACGGCGCGUCUGGAGGGAUGCAGAGGUCGAUGGAAUUGCCGGUGUAGUGGUGAAAUGCGUAGAUAUGACCCGGAACACCGAUUGCGAAGGCAGCCCACUAAGCAACGAUUGACGCUGAGGCACGAAAGCGUGGGGAUCAAACAGG
rnacentral:rRNA from 1 species